GAACGUGUCGCGUAUCGGUUGGAAGCUCGAUAGUUUUUUUUUCUUCACCUUCUCUCUCCGAUUUUGCAAUCGCAAAAGAGCCGUCUCGCAAUCGAACGGAAACGGGAGGUGAUUGAAUCAAUUGGGAAAACUCGGUUUAGUUUGAAGCCUCUUCCUUUAUCAUUCCCCAAAUUUUUUUUUUGCUCGUUAUAGUUUUGUUUCAGUCUAUCGUCUUGGUUUCAAUAAUACUCAGGUGUGGCUUCUGAUGGCUGUGUUUCAGAGAUUGCAUAUGAUGAGCUAGUGAAAUUGAUGGGUGGAGGAGAGCUACACUCAAGGGUUAUGGUUGAUGCUUUUAUGGAUGAGGGUGAUGUCUCAAGGAGACAAGGACACGCUUGGAUUCUUCAUUGUGCUAAGUUUUUGUUCUUGCUCUUAACUCUUCUUUUUACUCUCUGUUUUUCCUAAUUACAUGUGAUUUAAUUGUUGUUUUUUUCUUCUUUUUUUUGGUUUAGGUUAGGUGUGUGGAGAAGGAUCCUAUAAUGGCUCAAUGAGGGCUUUGACUGAUCGUUGUCACUGCAUACUCUUCUCUUGGACAUAUUUGUUUAGUUCCGUUUUGCAGAUAUUCUCUAUGACUUCUGGUCUCCCGCAAUGACAGUGAGUUCAGUCUGCAUCAGCAUUCUCUCUAUGCUAUCGAGUUCACCCGAAAAGCCCGGAUGAUAAUGAUCGAUACGUGAAGAACUGCAAGAACGGGAGAUCUCCUAAAGAGACAAGUUGGUGGUUCCAUGACGACAAGGUUUGAUGAUGAUGACCUACAAGAUGUCUACUAAAGAGGUUUAUAUAAUUUCCCAAGACCAAUAAUACUAUUUUCUAAGAGCUUUUGUUCAAGCUUUGCAAGAAGAGGAGUUGCAAAAACAUGUAGAUAUCCCUAUUGCGUCUUCAUCAAAUAUCGACGUUCUAAGUACAGCUGUCGUCAAACAAGUCAAACUCGUCCUGCCCACAGCAGAUUUAAAUCACGUGUCCACGCGAGUAUAUUAUGUAGAAAACAGAGCCUAUGCCAACACUCACACCCUUCUGAUCGCUUGUUCCUUCUUGAUCAGAACCUAGUUACUGAUGGCAAUAUUAAGGAUGUGGGAAGCUUAUCACCGAUAACACCCUCUUCUUCUGCUCCAUCCAUGUCUACUACUGUAGCCGUUGGUUACGAAAUCUACCAAAUGGGCGGAAUCAUCAACAACCAGCCGUCCUCGGCCGUUCACGUGUUUGACUGUCGUACUCAUACGUGGCGUGAUGCUCCUAACAUGACGGUGGCAAGGAAACGCGCCAACUCUGCUUUUAUGGACGGCAAGAUAUAUGUCAUCGGAGGAACAGUUGAGACAUCAUCCUCCAUGACUUGGGCUGAGGUUUUUGACCUAAGUACUCAGACUUGGAAGCCUGUGCCUAGCCCUACUAAUGAUUACGCUCGUAAAGUUGGGAUUCGUAGACGAAAAUUAUAUGUUAAAAGUGAGCAUAAAAGUAUGUAUAUGAUUCAAAAGAUGGGAGAUGGAAGGAGCUUUUAAAGUUGGGUUUAAGUGGAGAAUAUAAGUUUGGACCUUGUUGCGUUAUAGAAGAUAUAAAGAUUAGUGUACAUCAUGACGGUAAGGUCGGUUGGUAUGACUCACAGCGUAGAAAAUGGUCCAUGGUUAAGGGUUUGCAAGAUCAUCGUUUUGGCUAUCCUACCAUUCGGUUAGCUAACUAUGGUGGGAAACUCAUAAUUCUAUGGGACUACCGCCCACCGCCACGGUUCCGGUACGUUCCAGUGGAGAGGAACAAGCGCUGUUUUCCCUGCACAGGAAGGAGUACUUUUCGCUACCAAAAAUUGAUUACUUUUCCCUACUAUGUUCGCUGUGUGGUGAUAAGGUUGGAGAAGCGCAUUGGCUUUUCUGGACUACAAAUUUGGGGGAAGGUUGAACGGUCAAAUGUUGUGCUUAGAGUCCCCGAUUCAUUUAAUUUCUUCAGCUGUAUCAUCCUUUGAAAAAAGGAUAAAGAGUCUCACCUCAACUUGGAUUCGAGUACAGAAGAAAACUUCUCAUGAAAAUUCAAGCUUGUUUCUCUUCUUAAGAAUGGGGUUCGAGCUUGGCUUCUGUGAUGUGAUGCCACUUUAAAUGUUACUAGCUAGCUUCACAUGUCUUAUGUUAUCUUGAGACUUUGUUUGCCAAUGAUUAAGAAUUUGCCUAUCUAAUCUUUUUUAACAUUA